UUAAGUUUUGCCACCCUAAAGCCCUCGUAUAAGAAGCUCAUGUUCUUGAUUUCUAGGGCAGAUAUUGGGAGGAUUCCAAAAAAACGGCUGAAAAAUUUUCCAAAAAAACUACUUUAGUUUUGAGCUUGAUUUCUUUCUUUGGCUAAAAAGUUCAGAAGUGGUCUUUCUUGGGAUUUUUCUGGUUUUUCUAAGAUGAAAUAUGGCUGGAUAUUGAGGUACUCCUUUGAAUCUCUGGAAUUUGAAGUGAAUAUGACAAUGCAUGUGUUAAGGCUAAUGUGAUUAGUCAUUGAUUUUUCAGAAAUUGGUUCCUAAGUUCUAUUAAUUUGUAUAUCUCUUCUUCUAUUAGUCAAUGGAUGUAAAUCAGUGUUAGAGUAUAAAAGUUGUCAUUGUAACACAUGAAUUUUAGGACUUGAAUUUUGUUUGUGUUAAGAAUCUUGCGAAAGGUGUUAGAUGUCUGAACCAAGUGUAUGUACACUGUGAUUUUGGUUUUUGGUCUAUGUUGGAGUCAUUUGAGUCUUUGAUAUGGCGACUUUGGGAAUGAUGUCUGGAGUUUGGUUA